AUUUGGCAGUGAAAAUUAGCCACCCUUGCAGAAAGUCUGUUACAAUAGUCUCAUCAGCCAGGAAAUGCACAAUCUUAUAAUUGGAGGAGCUGAUUCAAAGCCCAAGGAAGCUGUUGAGUGAAAUAGCGAUAUGGUUCAGCACUUCCCCAGAGCUUAAAAGCCAUGUACAUACCAUGAAGAACAAGAUGAGAAUUCUUCUCUUCCAGGUUACAAAGGAAAGAGGCAUUCAGCAAGGCUGUCCUUGCUUUCCACAAAUCUCACAGCAACUUGCCAUGAAAUUGUUCAGAAAGGGGCCUGAGAGCUGAUGCACGGAGGCUUGAGAAGCAGCUUGUCUGUUGUUGCAGACUGAGCCCUCUGCUUUUGGGAACUUACCAGGAUGCUGAUAAAUGGCUGUCACCCCUUAUUGGACAUGAAUUCACUGUAUCUGUGUAAAUAAGG